GAACUUAAGCAUAUCAAUAAGCGGAGGAAAAGAAACCAACAGGGAUUACCUCAGUAACGGCGAGUGAAGCGGUAACAGCUCAAAUUUGAAAUCUGGCCUCACGGUCCGAGUUGUAAUUUGUAGAGGAUGCUUCGAGCAUGGUCUGGCCUAAGUUCCUUGGAACAGGACGUCAUAGAGGGUGAGAAUCCCGUAUGCGGUCAGGUGCCUACGCUCAUGUGAAGCUCCUUCGACGAGUCGAGUUGUUUGGGAAUGCAGCUCAAAAUGGGUGGUAAAUUUCAUCUAAAGCUAAAUAUUGGCCAGAGACCGAUAGCGCACAAGUAGAGUGAUCGAAAGAUGAAAAGCACUUUGGAAAGAGAGUUAAACAGUACGUGAAAUUGUUGAAAGGGAAGCGCUUGCAACCAGACUUGCGCGCGGCCGAUCAUCCGGUGUUCUCACCGGUGCACUCGGCCGUGCUCAGGCCAGCAUCGGUUUCGGCGGUUGGAUAAAGGCCUCAGGAAUGUGGCUCCUCUCGGGGAGUGUUAUAGCCUGGGGUGCAAUGCAGCCUGCUGGGACCGAGGACCGCGCUUCGGCUAGGAUGCUGGCGUAAUGGUUGUAAGCGGCCCGUCUUGAAACACGGACCAAGGAGUCUAACAUCUAUGCGAGUGUUUGGGUGUCAAACCCAUACGCGUAAUGAAAGUGAACGGAGGUGAGAACCCUUAAGGGUGCAUCAUCGACCGAUCCUGAUGUCUUCGGAAGGAUUUGAGUAAGAGCAUAGCUGUUGGGACCCGAAA
rnacentral:rRNA from 1 species